UCCUACACUAAAAGAAGGCCAUUCUAUUUC
rnacentral:piRNA from 1 species